rnacentral:rRNA from 1 species
GACGAACGCUGGCGGCGUGCUUAACACAUGCAAGUGGAGCGACGAACCAGGGCUUGCCCUGGGGCAAAGCCGCGAACGGGUGAGUAACACGUGGGUAACCUGCCCCGAUGACCGGGACAACCCGAGGAAACUCGGGCUAAUACCGGAUGUGGAACCCUCACAUAGUGAGGUUUCUAAAGGUAGCUUCGGCUUCCGCAUUGGGAGGGGCCCGCGGCCCAUUAGCUUGGUGGUGAGGUAACGGCUUACCAAGGCUUCGAUGGGUAGCUGGUCUGAGAGGACGAUCAGCCACACUGGGACUGAGACACGGCCCAGACUCCUACGGGAGGCAGCAGUGGGGAAUCUUGCGCAAUGCGCGAAAGCGUGACGCAGCAACGCCGCGUGGGGGAAGAAGGCCUUCGGGUUGUAAACCCCUUUCAGGAGGGACGAAGGUCACACGGUUAAUAGCCGGCGUGGCUGACGGUACCUCCAGAAGAAGCCCCGGCUAACUACGUGCCAGCAGCCGCGGUAAGAC